rnacentral:rRNA from 1 species
AUUGAACGCUGGCGGUAUGCUUAACACAUGCAAGUCGAACGGUAACAGGCCUUCAGGCGCUGACGAGUGGCGGACGGGGGAGUAACGCGUAGGAAUCUGCCCAGUAGUGGGGGACAACCAGGGGAAACCCUGGCUAAUACCGCAUACACUCCUAAGGGGGAAAGCAGGGGAUCUUCGGACCUUGCGCUAUUGGAUAAGCCUGCGUCGGAUUAGCUAGUUGGUAGGGUAAAGGCCUACCAAGGCGACGAUCCGUAGCUGGUCUGAGAGGAUGAUCAGCCACACUGGGACUGAGACACGGCCCAGACUCCUACGGGAGGCAGCAGUGGGGAAUAUUGGACAAUGGGCGCAAGCCUGAUCCAGCCAUACCGCGUGUGUGAAGAAGGCUCUAGGGUUGUAAAGCACUUUAAGUUGGGAGGAAAUGCCCAGGGCUAAUAACUCUGGGAGUUGACGUUACCCACAGAAGAAGCACCGGCUAAUUCCGUGCCAGCAGCCGCGGUAAUACGGAAGGUGCGAGCGUUAAUCGGAAUUACUGGGCGUAAAGCGCGCGUAGGUGGUUGUGUAAGUGGAAUGUGAAAGCCCUGGGCUCAACCUGGGAACUGCAUACCAAACUGCGCAACUAGAGUACGAUAGAGGGGGGUAGAAUUUCAGGUGUAGCGGUGAAAUGCGUAGAGAUCUGAAGGAACACCAGUGGCGAAGGCGACCAUCUGGACGAGUAUUGACGCUGAGGCGCGAAAGCGUGGGGAGCAAACAGGAUUAGAUACCCUGGUAGUCCAUGCCGUAAACGAUGUCAACUAGCCGUUGGAAGACUUGAUCUUUUAGUGGCGCAGCUAACGCAAUAAGUUGACCGCCUGGGGAGUACGGCCGCAAGGUUAAAACUCAAAUGAAUUGACGGGGGCCCGCACAAGCGGUGGAGCAUGUGGUUUAAUUCGAGGCAACGCGAAGAACCUUACCAGGUCUUGACAUCCUGCGAACUUUCUAGAGAUAGAUUGGUGCCUUCGGGAACACGGUGAAAGGUGCUGCAUCGCUGUCGUCAGCUCGUGUCGUGAGAUGUUGGGUUAAGUCCCGUAACGAGCGCAACCCUUGUCCUUAGUUGCCAGCGCGUAAUGGCGGGGACUCUAAGGAGACUGCCGGUGAUAAACCGGAGGAAGGUGGGGACGAUGUCAAGUCAUCAUGGCCCUUAUGAGUAGGGCUACACACGUGCUACAAUGGCCGGUACAAAGGGUUGCCAAGCAGCGAUGUGGAGCUAAUCCCAUAAAAUUUCUCGUAGUCCGGAUCGGAGUCUGCAACUCGACUCCGUGAAGUCGGAAUCGCUAGUAAUCGUGAAUCAGAAUGUCACGGUGAAUACGUUCCCGGGCCUUGUACACACCGCCCGUCACACCAUGGGAGUGGAUUGCACCAGAAGUAGGUUGCCUAACCUUCGGGAGGGCGCUUACCACGGUGUGCUUCAUGACUGGGGUG